rnacentral:rRNA from 1 species
UCGCGGCCUAUCAGCUUGUUGGUGGGGUAACGGCCCACCAAGGCUUCGACGGGUAGCUGGUCUGAGAGGACGACCAGCCACACUGGGACUGAGAUACGGCCCAGACUCCUACGGGAGGCAGCAGUAGGGAAUCUUGCGCAAUGGGCGAAAGCCUGACGCAGCGACGCCGCGUGAGGGAUGACGGCCUUCGGGUUGUAAACCUCUUUCAGCGGGGACGAAGCGCAAGUGACGGUACCCGCAGAAGAAGCACCGGCCAACUACGUGCCAGCAGCCGCGGUAAUACGUAGGGCGCAAGCGUUAUCCGGAAUUAUUGGGCGUAAAGAGCUCGUAGGCGGUUUGUCGCGUCUGCCGUGAAAGUCCGGGGCUCAACUCCGGAUCUGCGGUGGGUACGGGCAGACUAGAGUGAUGUAGGGGAGACUGGAAUUCCUGGUGUAGCGGUGAAAUGCGCAGAUAUCAGGAGGAACACCGAUGGCGAAGGCAGGUCUCUGGGCAUUAACUGACGCUGAGGAGCGAAAGCAUGGGGAGCGAACAGGAUUAGAUACCCUGGUAGUCCAUGCCGUAAACGUUGGGCACUAGGUGUGGGGGACAUUCCACGUUUUCCGCGCCGUAGCUAACGCAUUAAGUGCCCCGCCUGGGGAGUACGGAAGCUUGGAAUUCGCCC